AGAGUUUGAUCCUGGCUCAGGACGAACGCUGGCGGUGCGCCUAACACAUGCAAGUCGAACGGUGAACCGGGCUUCGGCCCGGGGAUCAGUGGCGAACGGGUGCGUAACACGUGGGCAACCUGCCCCCGACCCUGGGAUAACCCCGGGAAACCGGAGCUAAUACCGGAUAUUCUCCUCCGACCACAUGGUCAGAAGAGGAAAGGUCCGCCGGUCGGGGAUGGGCCCGCGGCCUAUCAGCUUGUUGGUGGGGUAACGGCCUACCAAGGCGACGACGGGUAGCUGGUCUGAGAGGACGACCAGCCACACUGGGACUGAGACACGGCCCAGACUCCUACGGGAGGCAGCAGUGGGGAAUCUUGCGCAAUGGGCGAAAGCCUGACGCAGCGACACCGCGUGGGGGACGAAGGCCUUUCAGGUCGUAAACCCCUUUCGGCAGGGACGAAGCGAUCUCGUGACGGUACCUGCAGAAGAAGCCUCGGCUAACUACGUGCCAGCAGCCGCGGUAACACGUAGGAGGCGAGCGUUGUCCGGAAUCAUUGGGCGUAAAGAGCGCGCAGGCGGCUUGGCAAGUCGGGUGUGAAAUCCCGGGGCUCAACCCCGGGACUGCAUUCGAUACUGUCAGGCUAGAGGUAGGUAGGGGAGAUCGGAAUUCCUGGUGUAGCGGUGAAAUGCGCAGAUAUCAGGAGGAACACCGGUGGCGAAGGCGGAUCUCUGGGCCUUACCUGACGCUCAGGCGCGAAAGCUAGGGGAGCGAACAGGAUUAGAUACCCUGGUAGUCCUAGCCGUAAACGUUGGGUGCUAGGUGUGGGCGGAUAUCAACCCCGUCCGUGCCGAAGCUAACGCAUUAAGCACCCCGCCU
rnacentral:rRNA from 1 species